AUACGGAGGGGGCAAGCGUUGUUCGGAAUUACUGGGCGUAAAGCGCGCGUAGGCGGCUUACCCAGUUAGGCGUGAAAGGCCUGGGCUCAACCCAGGAACUGCGUUUAAUACUGGUAGGCUAGAGUCCGGAAGAGGGUGGCGGAAUUCCCAGUGUAGAGGUGAAAUUCGUAGAUAUUGGGAAGAACACCAGUGGCGAAGGCGGCCACCUGGGCCAAUACUGACGCUGAGGUGCGAAAGCGUGGGGAGCAAACAGGAUUAGAAACCCCAGUAGUCC
rnacentral:rRNA from 1 species